UAGGGAAUAUUGGUAAUCUGGGAAACCGGGAACCAGCAACGCCGCGUGUGCGAUGAAGGCCUUCGGGUUGUAAAGCACUUUUUGAGAGGAUGAGGAAGGACAGUACUCUCAGAAUAAGCCUCGGCUAACUACGUGCCAGCAGCCGCGGUAACACGUAGGAGGCAAGCGUUAUUCGGAUUUACUGGGCGUAAAGCGCGUGCAGGCGGUUCGAUAAGUUGGAUGUGAAAGCUCCUGGCUUAACUGGGAGAGGUCGUUCAAUACUAUCGGACUAGAGGAUGAGAGAGGGAGGUGGAAUUCCGAGUGUAGUGGUGGAAUGCGUAGAUAUUCGGAGGAACACCAGUGGCGAAAGCGGCCUCCUGGCUCAUAACUGACGCUCAGACGCGAAAGCUAGGGUAGCAAACGG
rnacentral:rRNA from 1 species